rnacentral:rRNA from 1 species
GUAUAAUGGGUCAGCGACUUAUAUUCUGUAGCAAGGUUAACCGAAUAGGGGAGCCGAAGGGAAACCGAGUCUUAACUGGGCGUUAAGUUGCAGGGUAUAGACCCGAAACCCGGUGAUCUAGCCAUGGGCAGGUUGAAGGUUGGGUAACACUAACUGGAGGACCGAACCGACUAAUGUUGAAAAAUUAGCGGAUGACUUGUGGCUGGGGGUGAAAGGCCAAUCAAACCGGGAGAUAGCUGGUUCUCCCCGAAAGCUAUUUAGGUAGCGCCUCGUGAAUUCAUCUCCGGGGGUAGAGCACUGUUUCGGCAAGGGGGUCAUCCCGACUUACCAACCCGAUGCAAACUGCGAAUACCGGAGAAUGUUAUCACGGGAGACACACGGCGGGUGCUAACGUCCGUCGUGAAGAGGGAAACAACCCAGACCGCCAGCUAAGGUCCCAAAGUCAUGGUUAAGUGGGAAACGAUGUGGGAAGGCCCAGACAGCCAGGAUGUUGGCUUAGAAGCAGCCAUCAUUUAAAGAAAGCGUAAUAGCUCACUGGUCGAGUCGGCCUGCGCGGAAGAUGUAACGGGGCUAAACCAUGCACCGAAGCUGCGGCAGCGACGCUUAUGCGUUGUUGGGUA